UACGUAGGUGGCAAGCGUUGUCCGGAUUUACUGGGCGUAAAGGGUGCGUAGGCGGUUCGUUAAGUCUGUCGUGAAAUCCCCGGGCUCAACCUGGGAAUGGCGAUGGAUACUGGCGAGCUAGAGUGUGUCAGAGGAUGGUGGAAUUCCCGGUGUAGCGGUGAAAUGCGUAGAGAUCGGGAGGAACAUCAGUGGCGAAGGCGGCCAUCUGGGACAACACUGACGCUGAAGCACGAAAGCGUGGGGAGCAAACAGG
rnacentral:rRNA from 1 species